rnacentral:rRNA from 1 species
UUAAGUACUCCGCCUGGGCAGUACGCUCGCAAGAGUGAAACUCCAAGGAAUUGACGGGGACCCGCACAAGUAGCGGAGCAUGUGGUGUAAUUCGAAGCAACGCGAAGAACCUUCCCUAAGCUUGACAUCCCAAUGACAUCUCCUUAAUCGGAGAGUUCCCUUCGGGGACCUUGGUGACAGGUGGUGCAUGGUUGUCGUCAGCUCGUGUCGGGAGAUGUUGUGUUCAGUCCCGCAACGUGCGCAACCCUUGUCUUUAGUUGCCAGCAUUAAGUUGGGCACUCUAGAGAGACUGCCCGGGAUAACCUGGAGGAAGGUGGGGAUGACGUCAAAUGAUCAUGCCCCUUAUGCUUAGGGCUACACACGUGCUACAAUGGGUAGUACAGAGGGUUGCCAAGCCGUAAGGUGGAUCUCAUCCCUUAACGCUACUCCCCGUUCGGAUUACAGGCAUAACCUCUCCUACAUUAAGCUUGAGUUACUAGUAAUC